AUGGCAAUUUUUUCAUCACAUUCGUCUUCUUCGUCUUCUUCCUCGUUUUCUUCUUCCAAUAACUCAAAGGCAUGGAUCAUCCAUGGCAUCGUGGUUGGGGUUUCAAUUGUAGCCGCUGCCGGUGCUCACGUUUACUUCACUCGAUUCUACAAAUUCCGUAGCCGGGUCGUAGGUAUCAUACCCGCUCGAUUUGCUUCCUCCCGGUUCCCUGGAAAGCCUCUCGUUCAGAUUCUUGGCAAGCCUAUGAUCCAGAGUAAUAGAGAAUCUUUGCACUAUGAAACCCCUAUUCUAAACAAUUUGGAUCCCAUGAAUGAUGGUCCAUGA
rnacentral:lncRNA from 1 species